UACGUAGGGGUCUAGCGUUGUCCGGAAUUAUUGGGCGUAAAGAGCUCGUAGGCGGUUCGGCAAGUCGGAUGUGAAAUCUCCACGCUUAACGUGGAGGGGCCAUUCGAAACUGCCGUGACUCGAGUCCGGUAGGGGAGUGCGGAAUUCCCGGUGUAGCGGUGAAAUGCGCAGAUAUCGGGAAGAACACCUAUGGCGAAGGCAGCUCUCUGGGACGGUACUGACGCUGAGACGCGAAAGCGUGGGGAGCGAACAGG
rnacentral:rRNA from 1 species